CUCGAGAACUUCUUUAUGAACUCCAAUCUGGCUUUACGACAGCUCAUUCCACUGAUACUUGCCUUAUCCACCUUUUUGACCACAUUAAAGCAGGAAAGUGAGAAGGGGAACUAUACAGCUGUCUCUUCAAUGGCUUUCAACAUCGAUGAAGCAAACCCAAAACUCUACAAAGGGGAGGAACAGGAUUUCUUUGGAUACAAAGUCCUGCAAUUCAUAUCUGGCAAGGAGAAAGGGGUAAUGGUCAGUGCGCCAUAUCAGAAGAACGGAUCUGGUGGAAUCUGUAGAUGUGCUCAAGACCGAACAAACUGUACAGACUGUUACACUCCUCAAGAAACUGACACAAUCAAGUACAUUGGACUGUCUAUGGUUGCACAAUCUACUUCUCCUCCAACGUUCACUGCCUGCAGCCCUGGCCUGGCACACGAGUGUGAUGGGAACUCCUAUCUGAACAGUAUCUGUUAUCAGUUCAACAGCCAGCUCCAGAUCACCUCGAACUUCACACCUGCCUUCCAAGAAUGUACUAAGAAAAUAGUGGACCUCGUUUUCCUCUUUGACGGAUCAGCAAGCAUGACAACGGAAGAAUUUGAUGAGAACAAAGGCUUCAUAAACAAUAUCAUGACAACCCUAAAAAACUCCUCAAUUAAGUUCGCAGCGGUUCAGUUCUCAACAAACACCAAGACAGUUUUCAACUUCAGAGACUACCAAGAGGGGAGAGCCUUGACUAAACUUUGGAAAGAAGAGCACAUGGCUGAUCUAACCAACACACAUAAGGCAAUAGACUUUGUCUUGAAAAACAUUUUUGAAAACCAAGCUGCCGGCGCCACCGCAGAUGCAACUAAAGUACUGGUCAUAAUAACAGAUGGAAAUCCCAGCGAUACUGAUAAAAGGUUCAACUCUAUCAAAAGAAGUGAUGAGAAAAACAUCAUCCGCUUUGUCAUCGGGGUCAAGAACGUUGAUUUGAGGAAACUCAAGUCCCUGGCAUCAGAGCCAAAAGAGAACAACACUUUCCUCAUCCAGGACUACAACGGACUAAAAGGAAUCCUAGACAACUUUCAAAAAAAGAUCUUCAACAUUGAAGGUUCCAAGACUGCUCUGGCUGGAAACUUGACUAAAGAAAUGUCUCAGAGUGGGUUCAGCGCUGUCUACGUUAACAAGGACACCUUGGUUCUGGGCUCAGUGGGAUCAAACAACUGGCGUGGAUCUCUCUUUGAGACUGAGGGUCUGAGAUCAGAGGAAAGGGAAAUUCAGGACCCCACAUUGGACAAAGAUUCCUAUAUGGGAUACUCUGUAGCUGUUGGGAAGAAGAAUGAGAACCUUCUAUAUUUUACCGGAGCACCAAGAUCUGAACACAUGGGACGGAUCCUACUUUUUAACAAGGUUAACAACAACUGGACUGUGGCACAAAGCUUGCCUGGAGAACAGAUGGGCUCCUACUUCGGGGCAGAGCUGUGUUCUGUGGACAUAGACUCAGACGGCAACACAGACUUCCUCCUGGUGGGUGCACCAAUGUUUCACCAACCUCCGAGAGAGGGCAGGAUCUACGUCUACACACUGACUGAUAAGCUGGAACUGAGGAUGGAGAUGAAUGUUUCAGUGCCAUCUCAGGGUAGAUUCGGCUCCUCCAUCUGCUCUCUCACAGACCUGAAUGGAGAUGGGCUGAAGGAUGUAGCUGUGGGCGCUCCACUUGAGGACGAUCACAGGGGGGCCGUGUACAUCUACCUGGGUGAAAAGCUAAAGGGGAUCCGCCCUGAAUUCAGCCAGCGCAUCUCAGCUGUGAUGAUGAGAUCUAAGCUCCAGUUCUUUGGCCAGGCGAUUGAUGGGAAAAUGGACCUGGGUGAGGAUGGACUGACUGAUAUCGUAGUAGGAGCGCGUGGUGCAGUUGUUGUCUUGAGGUCCAGACCGGUCCUCAGCAUCUCUGCUCAUCUCCACUUCUAUCCCGCGGAGAUCAGCACUGAUAACUUUGACUGUCUGGCAAAAGAGAUCAUUUCCCCCGUGAUCACGUUAACAGCCUGCUUUAACAUGGCAGAGGCAACAAAGAGUAAAGCUGAGGUGCUGAGUGCAGGGAUGAACGUCUCCUACUCGCUGGAUGUGGAUCCAGUGAGACAGAGGAGCCGAGCCUUUUACAGUGACACGAACAAAGGGGCCAGAAGACUUCUCUCUACAGUGGAGCUGAGAAAGGAGCGGACUUGCUUCAACCACUCAGUCUACAUGACACAAUGCGUGAUCGACACAUUAUCGCCCAUAAUCAUCCAACUACUUUUUUCUCAAUCUGAAAGCCAACAAGAGGGUCUUACUGCCAUUCUGAAUACUGACAGUCCUACACAGGCUGUGGUCGAGGUGCCCUUUGAAAAGAACUGCAAAGAAAAUGAAACCUGUGUGGCAGAGCUUGAGGUGGACUUCAACUUCAUCACAUCAACUUUAUUAGUGGUGGACCAGAGUUACUUCAACGUGACUAUAAGACUGUCCAAUCACGGGGAUGACUCAUUCAACACCAGUCUAACUCUCCUCUACCCUCCUGGCCUCUCAUUCUCCAUGAUGCAUCUUCUGAAGUCUACAAGGAGAACGGUGUUCAGCUGUGGUGGUCUGGAAGGUGAAAUGGACAGAACUACAUGCAGUGUCAGCCUCCCUGUCUACCGUAGUAAAACCACAGCAGUGUUCACCAGUAAAUUCCAUAUUUUGAAUUCAUACGACUGGAACGACACAAUGGAAAUGACCGUCAUCGGCCUGAGUGACAACGGAAACUCAACCAAUAGUUCCCUUACCAGGACCAUCCCUGUUCAAUUUGCAGUUGACCUGGUAGCAAAAGCCCUUCCCCAAGACUCCACCACUUACAUGAACUUUAAUCUGGAGGAUACAUCACCUAAAAGACUGGUGAAUGUAUAUGAGGUGGAGAACUUGGGAUUUAAGUCUGUACCCAUCACAGUCACCUUCACUUUCCCAACUAAGCUUGAGCACAAAUUUGAAAUGAAGUACUACCAAAUAUCUGUCUUACAGAACCAUACUCAAUGUGGAAAGAUAAUCAAUUCAACAACAGAGUACUGCUCUCCAGAAAAAUACUGCAAGUCCAUCGAGUGUGAAAGUUUCCUUUUGGAGAAGUUUUUGACAGUUACAUUUGUGCUGUCUGGAAAUGUUUCCUUCAAGGACCUCGAUCAACAUGCAAGGAGCUUGUCAUUGCCAAAGAAAUUCACUGGGGAGAGAGAAACAGUCAAUUUCAUCAGUUUUGUCAAACUCAGCUAUGACAAAAAACGAUAUGUCCAGACAGCGAGUGACCCAAGGGAUAACUCUUCAAGCUUCCACCAAACACAGAUGUAUUCCUCCAGAUUGAUGUUCAGGCUGAGCUCAUCAUUCCUCCCCAUAGAAACCUGAUAAUAGGGACAGGAGUUGGAGUAGGACUCUUCCUCCUGAUCAUCAUCACAAUGUCCAUGUAUAUGAUGGGAUGCUUCCAGAGAAAAAGCCUUGAUAAUGAAGAGAAUGAAGAGGAAUAGAGUGAGCAAGAUGACACUGCUAAGGCUAACAAUGUCUAUGCUAACACUUUGGAGAAGCAGCCACAGCCUGAGAGCAGAGCCAAAACCUCUCCUUGUUGACAUUCAGACAGUAAAAUGGCUUCCACCCUUGCAAUGAGGGGGUAGGGGAGGGACCAAAAGAGAAACAGGAUGUGUCAGAUGCAGGCUAAAGGAGUAGUGGUCUAAGCAACAAAUGAAAAAAAAAAAAAAAACUCAGGCCGAUUCAGACUUAGGAAAUGUACUUGGCAUUCAGACUUAUGUUGCUUCCUUAUGCACACUGAAUACAUGAAAUUCAACCGCCUAAAACCCUCCCACUUGUUGGCCAACAGAUUUUCUCAUGGAGUUUUCAUUCAGUAGGCUUUUCAGUACAUUUAUCUAAUGUAAAUAUUAUCCAAUAUUUAAUGUAUUGAACUACUGAAUGGCAACUUUCCGUAUUAAUCAAACCAUUAUACUGAGAAGGGUAUACAUUUUCUAAGGGGCCCAACUCAGAUUUAAGAAAUGUAUGCCUUUUCUUAAGAACCCCUUUCCUACACAGUAGUUGGUAUUCAGACAACUUAUGCAGCUGUGCAAUGGGCUUUGCAGGCAUGGUUUCCUUGGGCACACCGUAUACAUAUAAUUAAACAGCUGAAAACCUUCCCACUUGCAAGGAAAUCUGUUGGCCAGUGGAGUUGUCAUUCAAUAGGGUUCAAUAUUAUAUGUUAAGCCAUCCCUUUAAAUAGUGUGGCUUUAAUUUGAAUAUGUCGACAGGCUAGACAUAGAGAAUGUGUUCAGAAUAUAUGGAUCAAUGAAAGAUAAAGAUGAAUAUGCAUAUAAUUAGAUGGCCGGUUCAGCACCAACCGGUUUAUUUAGGGACAUUUUUGGGGUUAGAAAAGUAUGAAUCAUAAAAAUAAAAACACAGCUUUAGAGAGCCUUUGGGCACACAAUAUAUAUUGAAAGAAAAAUUGUGGUUUGAUUCAAGCUGAAAGUUGUCAAAUUCAAUACAUAAUUUGGAAAGGUGUAUAAAGUGUACAAUAAAGUUUUGAACAAUAGUCCUACCCUAAUCAUGGAGCUGUAUGACAACGGUCCAGCCGCCGUGCACCAUGCUCCCAAAUUAUUGCGCAACAUGUUGGCUUGGUGGGGGUGGAGGCCCCCCUUUCGUGUUUUCUUUUCCGUCAUUGUAAAUAAGAAUAUGUUCUUAACUGACUUGCCUAGUUAAAUAAAGGUUCAAUAAAAAAAAUGUAUUGUGCUG